CUUUCUCCAUAAUUAAUCCACCACUCAGCUGCAAAAUAUUUUAAAAUUUUUAUUAUUUUAAUGAACUCAGCUGUAUAAAAAUGAAUGAACAAAAAUAAUUUAUACUUAUUUUAUAAACUUAGUAGUUAGUACCUGGAUUAGUGAACUUAAUUGCCUUUUGCGCCAAAGCUGUUCCAAAACUCUCUAUUUUGUCCCGAAAAAGUAGGGCUUACAUGUUCCAAAUUCCAGUAAGUUAACGUCAAGUUCAAAAGCAACAGUUCAAGUUUCAAGCCUUCAACUACACUAACAUAGUAUUAGUAACACUUGAGAGUUGAGAAUUAGCUUGUUAGUUGUUACUUACUUGAUUUAAUGCUUUUCCUUGAUUUACUAAAUCCCCCUCUAGAUGUUGAAUCACAUUUUUGAGACCCAACAUGAUCUCAUUAUCAUUUCCAAUAUCAUGUUGGCCAUAUUGAUAUUGAGGAUUUAGAAAAUAUCCUGCAAAAUAAAAUAUGAAGAUAGAUAAUAAGUUAUCUCUUAAUUUAACAAUUUAAUUUUCUAAACUAUCAAAUUAUAAUACAAUGUUCUUACCAGCGGCAUGCAAGCAUUGAAAAUUCCAUCUAUGAUCAAUUAUUCUCUAAUAUUCCAAAUAGCUUCUAGAAUUUUUUUGAAUAGCCAACUUUGCUCGCUCCAUUGCCUCAUAUAUAAAUCCCAUUGUUGGCUUGUCAUCCCCAUCAACUAAUCUUAAAACCUUCAGGAGAGGUUCUUGAACUUUCAUUAUUUGUUGUGCCCUCUCCCAAAAGUUUCUUCCUUCGUUGCCUAAGCCAAGCACAAUUUUCUUGGCUUCAUGCGCUGGAUCACUUGUUGCUUGUCCAUAUUUACUCAUCAUCCAUUGCUCCGAUUCGAACAUAUUCCUUAGCCCCACCCUAUAACGGAUAAUAGACUCUAAAGCAAUGAAGUUUGUGGCAAAUCUAGUGCUGCCAGGUCGAAUAAUAUCUCUAUUGUCCGUGAAUUUAUUCAUAUAAUUGACUAUCCAAUUAUGAUUAUAAAUAAACUGAGUAAUUACUUUGGCUUGGUCAAUUAUUUUUUUCACACUCUUCUUCUUUCCAAUAUCUUCCAAAAUCAAAUCAAUACAAUGAGCACUACAAGCAGUCCAAUAUAGAUUAGGGAAUUUCUCGAUCAGUUUCUUCCCUCCUAAUUUAAUGGCAGCUUCGUUGUCCGUUACCACUUGGACAACUUUUUGAGGGUCUAUUUCUUCCACUACUUCUUUCAUAAUUUUAAAAUAGUAUUCUCCAUCUUUAUGUUCCACAUUGGAUGCAUCAACAGACUUGUGGAAUACUGUGCCUCUGUUUGAGUAGACAAGGAAAUUUACUAUACUCAUACGUGUUGGCCCACUCCAACCAUCACACAUUAUAGUAACUCCCCUCUCCUUCCAUAUUCCAUCAAAUGAAGCUAUAUAUUUUUUCAUUUCAUUGUACUCAUUUUUCAGAUAAACUUUUGCAAUUUCAUAAGCACUAGGUGGAGAUACAUUAGGCCCGAUUUCUGCUGCUGUUCUUAAAAGUGGCUUUGUCCACGGUGACUUAACAAUAUUGAAGGGAAGCCUAUUAUGUAUAACAAAAUUUCCAAAUGCUUUCAACAUUUUCUCCUUCUGUGUCUUCAACCAUUUAGUUUUUAAUUUUGGUUGCCUUUGUUGAGCUCUGCUUCUCUCUAUCUUAACUUCUGUGGCAGCCAACCGAGAUGCCGGUGUAGAUACUUCUGCAUAUCUUUGUGCUUCUCUACCUCUCUCACGUGUAGUAGCAGAAUGACCCAACACUUGCCUGCUACUACCACCAACAUCAAAUCUAGAUCCAGUUCUCCUUCUAAAUUCAUCUUCUUCCAACUGUCUCAUGCUCGCCCGUCUCGCCAUUUCCAUUUCGAUGUCCUCCUCCUCCUCUUCAUCAUCAUCGAAUCUAUUUAUAUUCAUAAUUUCUUCUUCUAAUUCUCUUUCUCUUUUUUCUUUAUCCUUUUUAGCUAAUUGGUAUUCUUUCAGGACAGCGGCCAUAUCCUUCUUAACUUGGGAAGAAACUUUCUGACAACCUGCAAUUUGACCAGGUGUUGCAAACUUCCAUCCAAUAUCAUCACUUGGUUUACCACCCCCUUGAGUAGAACCAGAACCACUUCCACGAGGCAUUUUCAAUACAAAUAUUUAAUAACUGUUCACAAAAAUUAAAAGAUAUCAAAUGUCAAAUAUAUGGAAGGCAAAUUUUUUUUUUCAUAACUAAUAUUUUAAUUUUAACCUAACUCCAUAGUCCAUAUAUUAAUUUCUAUUUAACACAAAUUAUAUAAAUAUGAAAUUUUUAAUUGUCAAACCACAAGUCUCAGUCUACCACUUUUAACUCAAAACUAACACUUUAAUCCACAAAAAUUAAAAAAAAAAAAUACAGCAACUAAAAAUAAUUUAAUUUCAUAAUAAUUUCUAAAAAAUAGUCUAAACUAAAUUAACAAAAACCAUACAAUUUAUACAUCUAACAAAUUAAUAGCCUCAAAGUAUAUUUUUAACUCAAAACUACAAAUUUAAUCUACAAAAAUUUAAAAAAAAAAAAAACAGCAGCUUCAGAUUCCUCUGAAUUUUGAAAGUAAAAAUACACUAUUAGUUUAACUCAAAUCUAACACUUUAAUCCACAAAAAUGAAACAAAAAAAAUACAGCAACUAAAAUUAGUUUAAUUUCAUAAUGAUUUCUGAAAAAUAGUCUAAACUAAUAAAAACCAUACAAUUUUUAUAGAUCGGACAAAUUAAUAGCUCAAAGUAUAUUUUUAACUCAAAACUACAAAUUUAAUCUACAAAAAUUAAAAAAAAAAAUACAGCAACUUUGAAAGUAAAAAUACACAGAAAUAU